CGAGGAGAAGAGCAGGAGACCGGAGGGUAACACUCAGCUCUGCACAAAUGAGUUGUGAAUGUUGCUGCAACAAAUAUGACUUGGCACUAGCAUCUUCGAUCCUAUGAGCUGUCAGCCAUACAGGGAAGCCUGUCUAUCCACCUGCAAUCU